CGGACAUGCAGGCACGAUAAGCACACACACACCUACCCAAACACACACACACACACACCUACACACAAACACACACACAGACCGGACACGCAGGCACGAUAAGCACACACACACCUACCCAAACACACACACACACACACACCUACACACAAACACACACACAGACCGGACACGCAGGCACGAUAAGCACAGAAAGAUAGGUAAUUUAAUUGACAGGCUAAAGCGACUAAGUUUAUGACUGACUUUUAUCACCAACGCGCGCACCCCCCACACACACACACACACACACGCUUGACCUCAGUAAACAACCAAAUAAAGUAUUGUGUGAGCUGUUGGCUAGACAUUUGGACUGGGGAGUGAGAGACCCAGACAGGUGGACUGAGGGAGAGAGAGAACCAGACAGUUGGACUAGGGGAGAGAGAGAACCAGACAGUUGGACUGGGGGAGAGAGAGAACCAGACAGUUGGACUGGGGGAGAGAGAGAACCAGACAGUUGGACUGGGGGAGAGAGAGAACCAGACAGUUGGACUGGGGGAGAGAGAGAACCAGACAGUUGGACUGGGGGAGAGAGAGAACCAGACAGUUGGACUGGGGGAGAGAGAGAACCAGACAGUUGGACUGGGGAGUGAGAGAACCAGACAGUUGGACUGGGGGAGUGAGCGAACCAGACAGAUGGACUGGGGAGUGAGAGAACCAGACAGUUGGACUGGGGAGUGAGAGAACCAGACAGUUGGACUGGGGAGUGAGAGAACCAGAGUAAUCUGGAGGUGGAGCCAUACGAGUGGCUAUCAUUGUACUGCAGUAACACAAAGAGAAAAGGUGUGUGUGUGUGUGUGUGUGAGAGAGGGUGUGUGCGCGGGUGUGUGUGAGAGGGUGUGUGUGCGGGUGCAAGUGUGGGUGGGCAUGCUUGUGUAUGUGAAAGGGUGUGAGAGGGUGUGUGUGCGCGGGUGUAUGUGAGAGGGUCUGUCUGUGACUGCAUUCCUCAGAGGGAGGGGUCACACACACACACACACACACGCGAAUACACCAUGCUUUCUGAGCGAUCCCUAAUCUUCCUGUCUAGGCAGGUAGUAUUAAGUCCUAAUUUUAGUGUGGCCAAUGUUCACGUUUGUCUGUGGUGGUUCAGGAGCACUAAAGUAAUUAGGUUAGUAUGCUGUUACAAUUGAAGACGUGUCACACCCCGGGGAGAAGGAAUAGAAGCAGCUAGCAUCCUGAUCACUAGAAAUAGACUGAACGGUUGAAAAUGUCCUGAGAACGUCGUUGUUUGGAGAAUCACAAAUUUGUAGAAAAAAGUAUUGCUCAGCACUGGACGCGAACACAUGAUGCUCAGAGCCAAAGUGCACUGCUCAGACCACUGCCGCUACUACGGCAGUUCACAACAUGUUAGCAAACCGCGAGAAUACGAAGACGAUGAUAGCUGAUGGAAAUAGCGCAUAGUUGUUUAUUAGCGGUCCUAAACCAUUGCCCUAACCUUAACCACACAUUGUACAUUCCAUAAAAGAGUAAUGAUCCCAUCCAUUACAGGGUAAACCUCCCUGACAUCCAUUACACACACACACACACACACACACACACACACACACACACACACACACAUACACACACACACACACACACACCUUUCAGAACAGCUGGUAACUGGGGGAGGACAAGGCGACCGCAGAAGGUGGCUCUGAACACAGGCGACCGCAGAAGGUGACUCUGAACACAGGCAACCGCAGAAGGUGACUCUGAACACAGGCAACCGCAGAAGGUGACUCUGAACACAGGCAACCGCAGAAGG
ensembl:lncRNA